UAGUCUGUUCACUUUAGAAAUACUUGGAUCACCCACUCAGUAGGUAAAAGGCAACAUAUUAAGCUCCAUGUUAAAUAAAAAGCUAAAUAAAGGUAAACAGUUUCUUCUAAUAGUGAAUGAUAGUGGAUCCAAAUCAUAUUUUAUGUAAUGCCUGUCCCUGCCCCUUCCCUUAGGAGAUGGAAGUAGACAUAGGGGCUGGAGAGGCAGGUUGUCAUAGUUUUAAUUUCCCUUUGUAGCCAUUUAUUGGAAACAAAUAUGUAGAACCAGCUGUGCUUGUGCAACCUGACCUAUGCAGUCAGAAUUAAGAGCAGACUAGUCAAGUCUGUAACAUUCUCUUCUCUUUCUCUUGCCACUUUGGGCAUAAGAACCUUGACUUCAACAGUCGUUUGUGUUCACCUAACUCAAAUAUCUAUCUGCAACAGCAUUCAAAGGGGCUAUGAAGUGGCGAUAUUUAUAAAAGGAGUUGAAAGGCUGAGUUGGCUAGAAUAGACGGUACACAAGAAUGUCUGCAGAGAGCCUAAACACAAAGACGGUGGCCUGGAGUUGUUUGCCAGGAAUUGGAGUCAGCUGUGUCUAGUUUGAGCUGAGCUGGUUACGAUCGGAUAGCAGCACGGACCCUGUAACUGGGCAUGCGCCGGUGUCUGAUCUGAUGUCUGACAUCGAAAGUGACCUUUUGAUGUUGGCGGGCUGAGAACUCCAUCCUCAGGCGGUGGCCGAGUAAUACAUUGCCCCGAAACUGAUAAGCCAGGAGGCUAAAGAAGUAUGGAGGCAGUCCGUCAGGAAUCUUGCAAAGAAGGCAGCUCUCAGUAGACAGUACUGGAGAUUUUUAUGAACCAUUUUUAGUUCUGUGAAUUGAAGAGACCUCGCCCCUUUUCUACCUCUUUCUGCUGACAGCUGCUCCUGAACACCUCCCUCCCAGCCGGGAGGGCAGCCGGAUGGCUGCCUGUGCAGCUAACGCCAGGAUGGCUCCUGAGCGAGCAUCCAGGGUAUCAGUUUCCUCCUGGAGACUCACGUGUCACCUUCACGUCUCGUGUAUCUUCCAUCAUUUACGUGAAUAUAUCAAGGGCUCUGGUAGAGGCACCAGGCUAUGAAAGCGCAGUCUAACCGGUGGCUGGGAACAAAGGCCGCCUUCAGCUACAAAUGAUUCACUAUGGUGUUGAGACUUUUUUCCCUCCACGAUGACUUUGAAUCCUAAAGAUUAAAUGAGUGUGCUUCCAUUCGCAGAAAAUAAAAGUGAAGGGAUAGCCUAGGAAAAGAAUUACUCUAAAAAAAAUACUGAUUUUAAGAACCAAUUUAGAAAAUUACAAAGGUUUCACAAGGAUGUAGGGUGUACUUGUAAUGGCAGGAGGAAGAUUUAUACCCAACUCUUCUCACAGAUGCUACUGUAACUUAUCAUCCUCAGAUUACUUAGUUUCCAUCAGAAGAUAUCACUAUCUGAUCAGUCUCAUCAUUUCAUAUUGGGUGGCAGUAUGGACAAAGUUAGAGUGAAUUAUUUGAAAGGUCAUGUGACUAUAUCUAACAGAUAUUUAAAAAUAUUUUGUGUGGUUCAUUAGCCAGUUUAAUACAGUGGGUUAACAAAGAAGUUCUAUAGUUCAUCUCUGGAAAAUUGAAACAUGGCUCUUACUUUUCAACCAUUAUUAAAUUAAAAAUAUCAAAAUAUUUUUAAGAAGAUGCAUGUUUCCAGCACAUUCUAUGUCCUUGGGAAGCAAAUAAUAAUGAACAGGAUUAGGAAAUAAUUUCAGAGAAGACAAUGGAACCCCACUCCAGUACUCUUGUCUGGAAAAUCCCAUGGAUGGAGGAGCCUGGUGGGCUGCAGUCCAUGGGGUCACUACGAGUCAGACACGACUGAGCGACUUCACUUUCACUUUUCACUUUGAUGCAUUGGAGGAGGAAAUGGCAACCCACUUCAGUGUUCUUGCCUGGAGAAUCCCAGGGACUGGGGAGCCUACGCUGCCGUCUAUGGGGUCACACAGAGUUGGACACGACUGAAGUGACUUAGCAGCAGGAAAUAAUUUAUACUGAAGUAUAUAACCCUGAGAUGGCGGUGGAUCAGCCCCACCUCUUUUGACCUUGGCCCCUUUAGAGGACAGCCUGGUUUCAACCAAAGUAACCUUGAACUUGGGGAGAGGCUGCAGCCCAGAGACACAGAAUAGGUGUCGUUGGUGCUAAUUCACUGUGCUUAUGCACUGGCGAGCUACAGUCCAUGGGGUCACAAAGAGUCAGACAUGACUGAGCAACUAACACUUUCACUUUAUGCACAGUUUAUUAAGGAAACUUUCAGAUUAUGGAAAUAUUUGACAGUUUCUUCUAGAUAUUCUGUGGCUUCCGUGGUGGCUCAGACGGUAAAGCGUCUGCCUGCAAUGCGGGAGACCUGGUUCGAUUCCUGGGUUGGGAAGAUCCCCUGGAGAAGGAAAUGGCAAUCCACUCCAGCACUCUUGCCUGGAAAAUCCCAUGGACGGAGGAGCUUGAUAAGCUACAGUCCAUGGGGUUGCAAAGAGUCGGACACAACUGAGCAACUUCACUUUACUUCACUUCUAGAUAUUACGAUUCUUCUUCAAAUAGGAUUCUUUUUCAUAUAUUUAAUAUGGUAUUUAAAAGUUGUCAGUAGAGAAAACAUGCUAAAGUCUGAAUACAAGAAAAUAGUUCACAGUAAAGAACAAUUAUAUACUGAGUAUAAUUUGAAAAAUAUUUGAAUAUUAAACUUGUCUUCAUUAAUAUCAGUUACAGGUCCCAAGGAAUAUGUCAUGAUCUCUUCAUUAUUCUACUUUAAACUCACAAUAUUAUCUCCAGGGGAAUUUUAAAAACAUUUUAUCAGGAAGCUUGCUUCUAAGUUGUUUGGUCAGGUCUGUCUUUCGUAAAGUUAACAGUUUCUAAAUAUUUCCAGAUUUGGCUGUCUGAUACCAGAACAAUUACAAAAUAUUUUCGGUAAUACUAUGUCAACAAGGUCUUUGGUAUUAUUAAAACAGGCAUCUAUUAACUGCUUUAAAAUGCUGAAGAUACUAAAAAUAGUUCAAAUUAACUCAAUUAAAACUAAGGACCUAUUCAUACAGUACUAUUUUAUACAUAAUAUUUAUUGAAGACUUACUAUGUUCCAAGCACCUUUCUUUCAGGGCCAUUCAUGUAUUAUUUCAUUUAAUCCUCAAAAUAAUCCAGGGUAAAAAUUAUAAUUUUAUGUCCAUUUUAUAGACAAGGAAACUGAGGCAUAGGCAGGGUAUGUAACUUGUUUCAAGGCACGUAGUUGAUAAGUAGAAGAUGUGGUAUAAAAUCCCAGGUAGCUUGAUGCUGUGCUCUUUGCCCUUGUACUUUAUUAUAUUGCCUCAUAUUAGUUAAUGUUCAUUCAAAAACUGUAUUAAGAUAUGAGACUGCAACCAGUGUAAGAUUCCUUGACAGGAAAAGCAAAGAUGUUUCUGUAAAUCAAUGUUCAUAGCAUCAUCCUCUGUCCCCCAUCACUCACCUUGGCGCUUGGUAGCAGAGUGAGGAAUACACCGUGUCUCCAUGAGCAGAGCUUCAUGGCACCCAGUUCGCAUGUGGGAUCGCUAAAUUCCAAGGCACAGAAGUAACAAUUCCAUAGAAAAUAGGCACCUUUAUAAUUUCUUACAUAUUAGUGAAAUUUCUACAUUUUCAAGAGCAGAUGAUACAUUUAAUUAAAAUAUUGACCUUGAUAUCAAGGAUAGUAUUACAUGCUGAAAUUACAUAUUAAAAUAGAUUGUGGGGGGCUUUUUUUGGGAGGGAAUAUUUAUUGCAACUUCACUUUUUGAUUAAAAUAGAAAAGAAAUCCUCCGAAAAUUACUUUGAUAAAACGGACUUCAAGUUAAAAUCCACAUGAAUCAUGUUGGGUUUUUCAGGAAGAAUCUUGUUUUGGCCUAAAUGAUACCCGAGAUCAACUUAGACCUUCCUACAUUUUUAACGUGAUGGAAGUGCAGUGGUCUCUCAGCUGGUGUCAGAGAGGAAGUACUUUCAGGAAGACUUUGUCUACCAGAGUUAGACCCAGGGAGCAUGGUAGCCUGAAGUCUCCUUGUCUCCUCGGUCUGCUCUUGGUUCUUUAUCACCAGAAAGGCUAGAAAGCAGAAAAAGUGAAAGUUUCUUCUGAACAGAUUCUUUUCAUUACAGACUUCAGAAAUGUCGGAAAGCUAGCAUAGGGCAAUUCGUAUCCCGAAUUCUUUUUUGCUGUAAUAACACGCAGCAACUAAAAUCUUAACAUUUUUGUCAGAUGUGAAAAAACAUACAAUCUUAUUGUUUCUCACAUUUGGUGUUUUUCGGGGGUGGAGGAAUCAAUUAUUUUGUCUUUAGAAGCUGUAAAAUAAAAUUCCAAUAAAAUCCAUGUUACACAUCUAUGCAAACCAAUAAAAAGAGAAUAUUUGCAUGUGUCCUAUUAAUCAAAACCAGUUUCCCGCAAUUCUAAAGACAUAUUCUUCAAGGAGUUUUGCUUAAUCUUCCCUAUCCAAGUUAAAUGGUCAUACUUGGGAAUAUAUGUUUUGUACAUAUAUGCACACAUACAACAGAAAAUAGUUGGGUUUUAACUAUCAGAUAUUUUAGAGGUCAGCAAUGACGACUUUUUUUCCACUUAGGUCUUUAAUUCAAUCUAGUAUUAUACAUGUUUUCUACUCACUUCUGUAGAGACCAGUGUAAACAUUUGGAAGGCAUUUUGUAUGGCAAGUUUGUGUAUUGCAGUUUUUGAGCAAUGCAAACAUCCCCCUUAAAUAAAUGAAAACAGAUCCCAGAAAAGGGUAUGCUUCCAACGCAUUCCCCAAAGAUCUGAGUGCCGCUGUGCAUUCUUGCUCAAUUUAAACAAACUAAACUUCAGUUAGUCUCCCCUCCCCUAAUGGGCACCCCCACUGGGAACAUUGUUAGGUUACCACCAUGGCCAAGGCCUCCGUAC
ensembl:lncRNA